AUUGAACGCUGGCGGCAUGCCUUACACAUGCAAGUCGAACGGCAGCAUGGAGAGCUUGCUCUCUGAUGGCGAGUGGCGAACGGGUGAGUAAUGCAUCGGAACGUACCGUGUAAUGGGGGAUAACGUAGCGAAAGUUACGCUAAUACCGCAUACGACCUGAGGGUGGAAGCAGGGGAUCGCAAGACCUUGCGUUAUACGAGCGGCCGAUGUCAGAUUAGCUAGUUGGUGAGGUAAAGGCUCACCCAGGCGACGAUCUGUAGCGGGUCUGAGAGGAUGAUCCGCCACACGGGGACUGAGACACGGCCCAGACUCCUACGGGAGGCAGCAGUGGGGAAUUUUGGACAAUGGGGGCAACCCUGAUCCAGCCAUGCCGCGUGAGUGAAGAAGGCCUUCGGGUUGUAAAGCUCUUUCGGCCGGGAAGAAAUCGCACAGGCUAAUACUCUGUGUGGAUGACGGUACCGGCAUAAGAAGCACCGGCUAACUACGUGCCAGCAGCCGCCGUAA
rnacentral:rRNA from 1 species